GGAAGAUCUCUUGGAAAUCUGAGGUGAUGCAAGAUAAAGUUUGAAUCUCUGCUCCUCUUAAAAGCAGAUCUGGUACGGAAGAUCCACAAGUCUUUAAGCUAUUGCUUUGUGGCCUGUUUUGAAUUUUGUGCUAUUCAGGUGUCUCACUUCAGCUAGAGGGGAAGAGAGGCAAAACCCUUCCACUCAAGUCACUGCUGGUGAAAGCUCUGAGAAGCACCUGCCACCUGGACCAUGACCCAUGCCUCAGUGAGGAACUGUGCCUUCAUCAAUAGCACCAAGUUAGUCCAUUUGAAGUCAGCCUCCAUUUAUAAUAUUUUAACUGAUGGGAGCCCCUGGCUAAAAUGGCAUUCAAAAUCUCCAUCAGUACCAUUCACAUAAACAGGAGCCCAAAGGCAACACAGACUGAAUUAACUGAGGUGAGGUCCAUGUUAAAGCAUGGAGUCAUAGAUUUCAUGCUAAAGUUCUU
rnacentral:lncRNA from 1 species